GACGAACGCUGGCGGCGUGCCUAAUACAUGCAAGUUGAGCGCUGAAGGUUGGUACUUGUACCAACUGGGUGAGCAGCGAACGGGUGAGUAACGCGUGGGGAAUCUGCCUUUGAGCGGGGGACAACAUUUGGAAACGAAUGCUAAUACCGCAUAAAAACUUUAAACACAAGUGUUAAGUUUGAAAGAUGCAAUUGCAUCACUCAAAGAUGAUCCCGCGUUGUAUUAGCUAGUUGGUGAGGUAAAGGCUCACCAAGGCGAUGAUACAUAGCCGACCUGAGAGGGUGAUCGGCCACAUUGGGACUGAGACACGGCCCAAACUCCUACGGGAGGCAGCAGUAGGGAAUCUUCGGCAAUGGACGAAAGUCUGACCGAGCAACGCCGCGUGAGUGAAGAAGGUUGUCGGAUCGUAAAACUCGGUUGGUAGAGAAGAACGUUGGUGAGAGUGGAAAGCUCAUCAAGUGACGGUAACUACCCAGAAAGGGACGGCUAACUACGUG
rnacentral:rRNA from 1 species